CCUAGAGGUGCCGGCCCCACGAUGGAGAGCACGUAGUGCCCCCCGGGAGUCAGGAGGCCGGGCCUGACCUCGGGGGCUGCAGCCAGGGGAGGCCGGCACCCCAGAUAACCCCCAAAGAACUGCAGGCCCUGAGGCGAGGCCAGAGUGGGGGCGGGGGCAGGUCCCAGCCGAGGAGGUGCUCCGUGCUGCCUCAGCAGAACCCAUGAUGGGCUGGCCCAAGGCUCUGAAGGUGGAAAGGCCUCACACAUUCUGCCCCGGCUGACGCCUUCCUUGGGCCAGUGCUCGGGGGUGUGUAACAAACGCCAAGACGCAUUGUAAAGAAGGAAGCCUGCGUUUCCAUCACCGGCUUAAUAUCAAACAAAAGUGCAAUUUUGAAAAUGUAGUCCAAGGUUUUCUGUGGUGCGGAAAUGGCCAGGCCAGACCUCCGUGGGUGGUCCUUCGUGUCCACGUCAGCGCCCUACAUCCACACUGUGGGCACCAUGACCUCACAUGCGGAGCGGAGCAGGGCCGGCGCCCGGAGAGCCAGGCUGGUCACGAACGAGGCCUAGAGGGCGUCAGGCCCCAAAGCACUCACAGGCUUCUCCUCUGUCCUCGGGGCCUUCAGACACCUGCAUGCGCCGAUUCAGCCACCCGCGCGCGCCGAUUCCCCUGGCCAUGGGGUUUCCAAAGUGUGUGCUCAGAGGACAGUUUCCUCCAGGAUGACCUGAGGCGUUUGCUGAGAGGCACAGGCUGAGCCCCCGUGCUGAUGCCACGACCGAGGGAACGGGUCUCCCUGUCGGCGUGAACUGACCCGGCCAGGCGUCCACUGCCACUCGGACUGUCUCCCAGGCACGUGGCGCCCACACGGGCAGAACACGCCCUCCACACACGCGGCUUCGGGCAGAACACGAGGCGCCCUCCACACACGCGGCUUCGGGGCUUGUCAUGAAAAAAGCUGAAUGCUGGGGGUGCAGCUUUCACCAACAGAAUCCCGUUUGGAAGGGACGCGAGUGACGCUCCGUGUUUCGUUCAGCCUGCAGGCCUGCAGAAGCUGCAUCUCGGGAUGGCCAAGAGCCCGGCCAGGCCCCACGGCUGCACCCAGGACGGGAUUCAUGCCCCAUGCCUGGCUUCUCACGACCACAGAGUGCCUUUCCCGGGACUGGAUGGAGGCAGAGUGAGAGAAGAGCCUGGAGCAAGUGUUUUGGACCACAGUGAUCAAACACGGAGCCCGUGGGAGGACGUGGGAGGACGUGCGGGGCUUUGCCGGGCGAGCCCGAUGCUGCUCACGGCACCUGGAGUGUUCGGGCCGCUAUUUGGGCGGUGUUCUGAGCAGCCGUCAGACCUUGAGUUUUGCUGUCAAAAGCUCUUCUCUCCUGCCCCGAAAUAUACCCAGUCCAUGCCCCAAGAGGAAAGGCCUUUGUGCCAGGUGGGCACCCGGCUGCCUCUUGGCAAAGACUUGUUGGAAAAAUGAGUGAGUGACGAGGCUGCUGGUCAGCGUGUGGCCUGUGGCGUCACUGGGGCCUCUGGCGGCUGCUGGAACCAGAAGAGGAGCCUGCGCUGCAACCCAGGCCGCACCACAUCAGGGUCUCACUGGGAGCCGGAGAGCUUGUUCCCAGGCAACCCUGAAACAGAGAAGUGUCCUUGGAGGCUUCACCCACGCAGACCCACGGCUUCCUGGUAGAAGCCGUCUGCACCCCCGCACUGACCUGGCUCUGUGAGGAGAGCGGGGAGGGGCUCCAGGGAAACAUCCUGGCGUUGGCGUAGCCAGCCUGUGAGUCACGGGGAAGCCGGCUGCCCGGAUGCCCCCCAAGGACCCGGUGAGUCCACACACAGUACAGCAGGGCCUGGGCCCGCACCACCGCCUUUUCCUGCAGGCCCCUCAUGUCCACUGACUGCACCUCCAGGGACUCUGCCCGGCAACCCAGGCGCCCCCGACACACCCCACCACACAGCUCCUUCUGCCUCACCCACACCCCGCCAGACCCUGAGCGCUCACGAAGUCUCCUUGUCAAGAACUUUGAGAGCCAGUUGCUAAACACAGAUGUUAUUUAUUUAUUUGAGACAGAGUCUUGCUCUGUCACCCAGGCUGGAGUGCAGUGGCACGAUCUCA
rnacentral:lncRNA from 1 species